AGGCGUCUUGGAGCUUUCAUUUUUGGGGUUUAGCAAAUGUGCAGGAGGCUGCAGGUAACUAAUCAUGCUGGCUAGGUGGCACUUGAAAGCAAUUCACGUGCCUUGUCUCUAUGAUAUCAUGAUCAAGAAUAGAUUGAAUCAAUACUUGUGCAGAGGAUCAUUUUGUCUCUGCCCAUUUUUCCUCAUCAACGUUUUUGAUACAAUUUGAGGAGAAUCUUGAGAUCAACUCUCAUGGUUAUAUUGGCGAUUAUUUGCGAGCAUGGGGCUUUCAGAGUUCCUGAAGAUUUAUUUUUGGACGAGCAUGAGCCCGCCCUUAGCUUCCUUUCUUUUCUUGGCAGUGGGGCCCCUUAGCCACCCAGUGUCAACCAUGUCUGAGAUAUUAUUCAGGUGAAACAAAUGGUGAUAGUUAUUCUAACUAAAUCGGACAUGAAUCUUUCAGAUGUUGUUGUUGAGAUGAUUUUUGACAAAGGUAUGUAGCCUUUAAUGAAGAUUACUAUUGUCAAUUAGUUUUGUAGUUACAAAAAGUCAGAAAUAAACCUAAAGUCAAAUUUUCCUUUUAAAGAAUUAAAACACCAGAUUUUGCAAAGAAAGAAAGAUAAUGCUUAUUUUCUACUUCAAGCCUUUUUGAUCAUAGAAUAGAGCAUGUGGAUUAAUUGAGACAAGCAAAAUCCCAAAAUGAUGAGUUAGCUGCUGACUUCCAAGGUGAGCCACGGUGGGGUUUUCUUUGCAUCAACUUUGCUGAUCACACUCAUCAUCAAGAUGAAAGCAAAAAUUUCUCCAUUUUUGUGCCUCGUCCUGUACAUUGAAGUGGGCUACACCAGCCAUUGAAUGGAAGCUGUCAAUCCAGAUUUUUAGUCUCCUUGUAAACAAUUGUGCCAGAAUGCUAUGUAGUUUUUCAAUGCAAAUUUCUUUCUAUAUUGUCUAUGAUAUUUUCUUAAAAUUGAAGGAUUGCGGAAACAAACCACUGUUAUCAUGUAUACGUUA